rnacentral:rRNA from 1 species
UUUAAGGUCUAAUCUGCCCUAUGAGGAAUUAAAUGGCCGCGGUACUCUGACCGUGCAAAGGUAGCAUAAUAAUUAGUUUUUUAAUUGGAAGCUGGAAUGAAUGAUUGGACGAGAAAAUAGCUGUCUCAAUUUAAUUUAAUUAGAAUUUUAUUUUUAAGUAAGAAAGCUUAAAUUUUUUUAGAAGACGAGAAGACCCUAUAGAGUUUUAUAUUUAUGUAAUUAUGGAUUAAUUAGAAUUUUUUUAUUUGUAUUUAUAUAUGUAUUUUAUUGGGGCGAUAGAAAAAUAUAAUUAACUUUUUUUUUAUUAUUACAUUUAUAUAUGAAAUUUUGAUCCAUUAUUUUUGAUUAUAAGAUUAAAUUACCUUAGGGAUAACAGCGUAAUUUUUUUUUAGAGUUCUUAUCGAAAAAAGAGAUUGCGACCUCGAUGUUGGAUUAAGAUAAAUGUUUGGUGUAGGGGCUAAAUAAUUAGGUCUGUUCGACCUUUAAAAUCUUACA